CUUUCUCCCAGUGGGCGAGCUGGGUCCCCGCUGCACUUGUGUGCUUUCUCCACUGAGGCCACCAGAGCUUCCCUGCCUCAGUCACCCUAGUGGCUCCGUUUUGUUUCAUGUGAGCCAAAUGCAUCGCUGAGUGAACCGGAACUCGUGCAAGGUUUGUAUGACCUGAAUCGUGAUGCCGAAAGCAGUGUCGCCCUCUGUUGCCGUCGUGUCCUCAUCAUGAACAAGGUUGAAAAUUUUCUUCCAAAAUGGCUUAGAUUUUUGAAAGGUGGGAGCCAGAAGAGAGGAGAGACGCACAUACAGAAGAGAAGGGAACAGCAGACGAGCCA